AGACCGAUAGCGAACAAGUAGAGUGAUCGAAAGAUGAAAAGCACUUUGUGAAAGAGAGUUAAACAGUACGUGAAAUUGUUGAAAGGGAAGCGCUUGCAACCAGACUUGCGCGCGGCCGAUCAUCCGGUGUUCGCACCGGUGCACUCGGCCGCGCGCAGGCCAGCAUCGGUUCGGGUGGCUGGACAAAGGCCUCGGGAAUGUGGCUCCUCUCGGGGAGUGUUAUAGCCCGAGGCGCAAUGCAGCCUACCCGGACCGAGGACCGCGCUUCGGCUAGGAUGCUGGCGUAAUGGUUAAGUAAGCGACCCGUCUUGAAACACGGACCAAG
rnacentral:rRNA from 1 species